rnacentral:rRNA from 1 species
UUGAACGCUGGCGGCAUGCCUUACACAUGCAAGUCGAACGGCAGCACGGGUGCUUGCACCUGGUGGCGAGUGGCGAACGGGUGAGUAAUACAUCGGAACAUGUCCUGUAGUGGGGGAUAGCCCGGCGAAAGCCGGAUUAAUACCGCAUACGAUCCACGGAUGAAAGCGGGGGACCUUCGGGCCUCGCGCUAUAGGGUUGGCCGAUGGCUGAUUAGCUAGUUGGUGGGGUAAAGGCCUACCAAGGCGACGAUCAGUAGCUGGUCUGAGAGGACGACCAGCCACACUGGGACUGAGACACGGCCCAGACUCCUACGGGAGGCAGCAGUGGGGAAUUUUGGACAAUGGGCGAAAGCCUGAUCCAGCAAUGCCGCGUGUGUGAAGAAGGCCUUCGGGUUGUAAAGCACUUUUGUCCGGAAAGAAAUCCUUGACUCUAAUACAGUCGGGGGAUGACGGUACCGGAAGAAUAAGCACCGGCUAACUACGUG